UAGCGGAGAAAUGGGCACCCUCGAAGAAUAGUGCAUGACCUCGGGCCGUCUCUUGGGAGGUCGUUUUUGCGAGUCUUUAUUAUUUUUUUUCCUCCACUCCCAUCUCGGGACCCUAUCUGGCGUCGCCUGGCCUACUGUUGAGGUGAUGAGGCACACCCAAAGGGAGCCUCUUUGGUUCCUGCCAAAAGAUGAAGCAGAGUGAAGACCUCCCCUUGGCAUUCGGAACCUCGUCUCUGCGAUUUUGGUCGCACCAUGUCAGGGGAGGAGCCCUUGGCUUUCGCUCAGAUCCCUUGGGCCACCGAGGCCUUCCUGUCCUGGGUCUGGUCUCCUCACCGCCGCCGGCUCUCUCAGCUUGUCCACCGACACAGCCAGAGGGCGCUUCUGUGGCUUAAACCCUUCCCAGGCUUGCGGUUGUCUCGGAGGUUAAGACCACACUCCUCGGCGUGGCUGGCAGUGCUAUGGCUAUAGAGGAUGAAGAUACAGGCCUUGCUCUUAGGUGACAGCUGUUGAUUGGAGUGCUGGUUGAGUCUCAACUGCCCUGCCUUCAAUUCAGCUUCCUCAUGAUGUUCUUGCAAGGCAACAGAUGAUGGUUCCUGUGCUUGAAUCCCUGCCACCCAUGUGGAAGAUGUUGAUGGAGUUCCUGGCUCCUGGAACCAGGUUACGCCGCUUGGGAAAUG